GACGAACGCUGGCGGCGUGCUUAACACAUGCAAGUCGAACGGAAAGGCCCUGCUUUUGUGGGGUGCUCGAGUGGCGAACGGGUGAGUAACACGUGAGUAACCUGCCCUUGACUUUGGGAUAACUUCAGGAAACUGGGGCUAAUACCGGAUAGGAGCUCCUGCUGCAUGGUGGGGGUUGGAAAGUUUCGGCGGUUGGGGAUGGACUCGCGGCUUAUCAGCUUGUUGGUGGGGUAGUGGCUUACCAAGGCUUUGACGGGUAGCCGGCCUGAGAGGGUGACCGGCCACAUUGGGACUGAGAUACGGCCCAGACUCCUACGGGAGGCAGCAGUGGGGAAUAUUGCACAAUGGGCGGAAGCCUGAUGCAGCAACGCCGCGUGCGGGAUGACGGCCUUCGGGUUGUAAACCGCUUUCGCCUGUGACGAAGCGUGAGUGACGGUAAUUUGUAAAGAAGCACCGGCUAACUACGUG
rnacentral:rRNA from 1 species